rnacentral:rRNA from 1 species
AGAGUUUGAUCCUGGCUCAGGAUUAACGCUAGCGGCAGGCCUAAUACAUGCAAGUCGAGGGGCAGCAGGUGUAGCAAUACAUGCUGGCGACCGGCGCACGGGUGCGUAACACGUAUGCAAUCUUCCUUUAACUAGUGAAUAGCUUUGAGAAAUCAGAAUUAAUACACUAUAACAUUGCGAAAUGGCAUCAUUUUGCAAUUAAAGCUCCGGCGGUUAAAGAUGAGCAUGCGUCCCAUUAGCUAGUUGGCGAGGUAACGGCUCACCAAGGCAACGAUGGGUAGGGGUUCUAAGAGGAUUUACCCCCACACGGGAACUGAGACACGGUCCCGACUCCUACGGGGGCAGCAGUAAGGAAUAUUGGUCAAUGGACGCAAGUCUGAACCAGCCAUGCCGCGUGUAGGAUGAAGGUUCUAUGGAUUGUAAACUACUUUUGUACGGGAAAAAACCCCGGGUUUCUACCUGGGUUGAUGGUACCGUAAGAAUAAGGAUCGGCUAACUCCGUGCCAGCAGCCGCGGUAAUACGGAGGAUCCAAGCGUUAUCCGGAUUCACUGGGUUUAAAGGGUGCGUAGGUGGAAUUUCAAGUCAGUGGUGAAAACCUGCAGCUCAACUGUAGAACUGCCAUUGAUACUGUUAUUCUUGAGUACAUUUGAUGUGAGUGGAAUGUGUCGUAGCGGUGAAAUGCUUAGAUAUGACACAGAACACCAAUUGCGAAGGCAGCUCACAAAACUGUAACUGACACUGAGGCACGAAAGCGUGGGGAUCAAACAGGAUUAGAUACCCCAGUAGUCC